UACGUAGGGUGCAAGCGUUAAUCGGAAUUACUGGGCGUAAAGCGUGCGCAGGCGGUUUUGUAAGUCUGAUGUGAAAUCCCCGGGCUCAACCUGGGAAUUGCAUUGGAGACUGCAAGGCUGGAAUCUGGCAGAGGGGGGUAGAAUUCCACGUGUAGCAGUGAAAUGCGUAGAUAUGUGGAGGAACACCGAUGGCGAAGGCAGCCCCCUGGGCUAAGAUUGACGCUCAUGCACGAAAGCGUGGGGAGCAAACAGG
rnacentral:rRNA from 1 species